rfam:Mosquito flavivirus isolate 65_02, complete genome
CGCAAGGGGGGAGUUUUCUAACUCCCCGGGUGUUGACGACACCCCGGCCCCAGUCCCCAAGGUCUUGGGAAAAAGACCCCGAAGUGUUGCAAGGACACUAA